rnacentral:tRNA from 1 species
GGCGGCUUGGUCUAAAGGUUAUGACACUGCCCUUUCACGGCAGUAAUGCAUCAGGGUUCAAGUCCCGCAGCCGUCA